GUUUAUCCGCCAGAGGAUUACGGGCGAAAGCCUAAAACUCAAAAGACUUGACGGUGUCCCAACCCUGCCUAGAGGAGCCUGUUUCAUAAUCGAUAACCCCCGUUCAACCCAACCUUCCCUCGAACAUCCCAGCCUAUAUACCGCCGUCUUACUUCUAGCUUACCUUCUGAAAGAAACACAGUAAGCACAAUAGUCCCAACUGAAAAGUCAGGUCAAGGUGUAGCUUAUGGGAAGGAGAAAAUGGGCUACAUUUUCUGUCACAGAACACCCACGGAAAAUAUUCUGAAAUAAAAUAUAUAAAGGCGGAUUUAGCAGUAAG
rnacentral:rRNA from 1 species